ACUGUUGUGGCCGAGCGGUUAAGGUGUUGGACUAGAAAUCCAAUGGGGAUGCCUUGUGUAUGUUUGAACCUUGCUUAAUUUG